UGGUGUGGGCCUUUGGAAAGCAUCUUGC
rnacentral:piRNA from 1 species